CAUCGCCUCCCGAUACCAUGGGAGGUCCAGCCUGCCCAGUGACUUCUGUUCAACGGCCGCGGUAUCCUAACCGUGCGAAGGUAGCGUAAUCACUUGUUUUUUAAAUAAAGACUAGUAUGAAAGGCAUCACGAAGGUCUAACUGUCUCCUUUUUCUAAUCAGUGAAACUAAUCUCCCCGUGAAGAACCGCGGAUAAACAUAUAAGACGAGAAGACCCUAUGGAGCUUUAAACAUAGUAAUAUCUGCCACAACAUUCCCCCCUUCCAGAAUAUUUACCCGUUACAGCAUAUUAAUUACAAGUUUUAGGUUGGGACGACCACGGAGAAAAAUCCACCCUCCACAUUGAACGGCAUACCCUAAUCAACAAGCUACAACUUUAUGAAUCAACAAAUUGACUUCCAUUGACCCAAUAAAUUUGAUCAACGAACCAAGUUACCCUAGGGAUAACAGCGCAAUCCGCUUCAAGAGCUCCUAUCGACAAGCGGGUUUACGACCUCGAUGUUGGAUCAGGGCAUCCUAGUGGUGCAGCCGCUACUAA
rnacentral:rRNA from 1 species